UGUGACUGGAGGUCAGAGGACUGUUCUUCGGUCAAGGGUAUACAAGUAGCUGCGCUCCCCUGCUAGAAACUCCAAACGAGCUCUCAAGGUCCAUUUGUAGGAGAACGUAGGGAAGUCAAGCUUCCAAGACUCCAGACACGUCCAAAUGAGGUGCUGCAUGUGGCAGUCUGCCUUUCUUUAAAAAAAAA